rnacentral:rRNA from 1 species
GGGCCCGCACAAGCGGUGGAGUAUGUGGUUUAAUUCGAUGCAACGCGAAGAACCUUACCAGGGUUUGACAUCCUGCGAAUCUCUUGGAAACGAGAGAGUGCCUUCGGGAACGCAGUGACAGGUGGUGCAUGGCUGUCGUCAGCUCGUGUCGUGAGAUGUUGGGUUAAGUCCCGCAACGAGCGCAACCCACGUCUUUAGUUGCCAGCAUUUAGUUGGGCACUCUAGAGAGACUGCCGGUGAUAAACCGGAGGAAGGUGUGGAUGACGUCAAGUCAUCAUGCCCCUUACAUCCUGGGCUACACACGUACUACAAUGCUACGGACAAAGGGCAGCAAGUUCGCGAGAACAAGCAAAUCCCAUAAACCGUGGCUCAGUUCAGAUCGUAGGCUGCAACUCGCCUACGUGAAGUCGGAAUCGCUAGUAAUCGUGGAU